rnacentral:misc_RNA from 1 species
GAUGAAGAACGUAGCGAAAUGCGAUAAGUAGUGUGAAUUGCAGAAUUCAGUGAAUCAUCGAAUCUUUGAACGCACAUUGCGCCCUUUGGUAUUCCUUAGGGCAUGCCUGUUCGAGCGUCAUUUAAACCCUCAAGCUAAGCUUGGUGUUGGGUGACUGUCCGCUUCACGGCGGACUCGCCUCAAAAUUAUUGGCGGCCGGUACAUUGGCUUCGAGCGCAGCAGAAACGCGAACUCGGGCCCGUCGUAUUGGCUCCCAGAAGCUAUCUUCACAAUUUUGACCUCGGAUCAGGUAGGGAUACCCGCUGAACUUAAGCAUAUCAAUAAGCGGAGGA